rnacentral:rRNA from 1 species
AACGAACGCUGGCGGCAUGCCUAACACAUGCCAGUCGAACGAGACCUUCGGGUCUAGUGGCUCACGGGUGCGUAACGCGUGGGAACCUGCCCUUAGGUUCGGAAUACCUCCCCGAAAGGGGUGCUAAUACCGGAUAAUUUCUUCGGACCAAAGAUUUAUCGCCUUUGGAUGGGCCCGCGUUGGAUUAGCUAGUUGGUAUGGUAAAAGCCUAUCAAGGCGACGAUCGAUAGCUGGUCUGAGAGGAUGAGCAGCCACACUGGGAGUGAGACACGGCCCAGAAUCUUACGGGAGGGAGGAGAGGGGGAUAGAGGACAAUGGGCGGAAGCCUGAACCAGCAAUGCCGGGUGAGUGAUGAAGGCCUGAGGGUAGUAAAGCUCGUUUACCCGGGAUGAUAAUGACAGUACCGGAAGAAUAAGCUCCGGCUAACUCCGUG